AGUGAAUAGAUACCCAGGUAGUCCUAGCCGUAAACGAUACUCGCUAGGUGUCGGCCACGGUGCGACCGUUGUCGGUGCCGUAGGGAAAGCCGUGAAGCGAGCCACCUGGGAAGUACGGCCGCAAGGCUGAAACUUAAAGGAAUUGGCGGGGGAGCACCACAACGGGUGGAGCUUGCGGUUUAAAUUGGAUUCAACGCCGGAAAUCUUACCGGGACCGACAGCAAUAUGAAGGCCAGGCUGAAGACUUUGCCGGAUUAGCUGAGAGGUGGUGCAUGGCCGUCGCCAGUUCGUACUGUGAAGCAUCCUGUUAAGUCAGGCAACGAGCGAGACCCACGCCCACAGUUGCCAGCGUACUCUCCGGAGUGACGGGUACACUGUGGGGACCGCCGCUGCUAAAGCGGAGGAAGGAAUGGGCAACGGUAGGUCAGUAUGCCCCGAAUAUCCCGGGCUACACGCGAGCUACAAUGGUUGGUACAAUGGGUAUCUGCCCGAAGGGGAUGGAAAUCCCUAAAGCCAAUCUAGUUCGGAUUGAGGGCUGCAACUCGCCCUC
rnacentral:rRNA from 1 species